rnacentral:ncRNA from 1 species
UGGCUGCCCUUAGUACGAGAGGACCGGGAUGGACGCACCUCUGGUGUACCAGUUGUUCCGCCAGGAGCACCGCUGGGUAGCCAAGUGCGGAAGGGAUAAGCGCUGAAAGCAUCUAAGCGCGAAGCCCCCCUCAAGAUGAGAUUUCCCAUUCCCUUCGUGGAAGUAAGACCCCUUGUAGAUGACAAGGUAGAUCGGUCCGGGGUGUAAGCACAGCAAUGUGUUCAGCUGACGGAUACGAAUCGGUCGAGGGCUUUCCCUA